rnacentral:rRNA from 1 species
AUUGAACGCUGGCGGCAGGCCUAACACAUGCAAGUCGAACGGUAACAGGAAGAAGCUUGCUUCUUUGCUGACGAGUGGCGGACGGGUGAGUAAUGUCUGGGAAACCGCCUGAUGGAGGGGGAUAACUACUGGAAACGGUAGCUAAUACCGCAUAACGUCGCAAGACCAAAGAGGGGGACCUUCGGGCCUCUUGCCAUCGGAUGUGCCCAGAUGGGAUUAGCUAGUAGGUGGGGUAACGGCUCACCUAGGCGACGAUCCCUAGCUGGUCUGAGAGGAUGACCAGCCACACUGGAACUGAGACACGGUCCAGACUCCUACGGGAGGCAGCAGUGGGGAAUAUUGCACAAUGGGGGCAAGCCUGAUGCAGCCAUGCCGCGUGUAUGAAGAAGGCCUUCGGGUUGUAAAGUACUUUCAGCGGGGAGGAAGGGAGUAAAGUUAAUACCUUUGCUCAUUGACGUUACCCGCAGAAGAAGCACCGGCUAACUCCGUG